rnacentral:rRNA from 1 species
GAUGAACGCUGGCGGCGUGCUUAACACAUGCAAGUCGAACGAUGAAGCCCAGCUUGCUGGGUGGAUUAGUGGCGAACGGGUGAGUAACACGUGAGUAACCUGCCCUUAACUCUGGGAUAAGCCUGGGAAACUGGGUCUAAUACCGGAUAGGAGCGUCCACCGCAUGGUGGGUGUUGGAAAGAUUUAUCGGUUUUGGAUGGACUCGCGGCCUAUCAGCUUGUUGGUGAGGUAAUGGCUCACCAAGGCGACGACGGGUAGCCGGCCUGAGAGGGUGACCGGCCACACUGGGACUGAGACACGGCCCAGACUCCUACGGGAGGCAGCAGUGGGGAAUAUUGCACAAGGGGCGAAAGCCUGAUGCAGCGACGCCGCGUGAGGGAUGACGGCCUUCGGGUGGUAAACCUCUUUCAGUAGGGAAGAAGCGAAAGUGACGGUACCUGCAGAAGAAGCACCGGCUAACUACGU